CUACUGACCCUUUUCCUCUCCGAUUUCUGGUUGCAGCUUGCCUUAGCCAGAUCCAGCUCCUUGGGCGACUCCUCCAGGCCACAAAGGCACCUCGUUGCUAUAUUAAAAGAAGAUAAAGAGACGUUCGGGUUUGAAAUCCAGACUAUUAGGUUUCCGAACCCGAACGAUUGCUCCCUGGAGGUAUGCACGUGCGUCUGCAAAAUUCAAGACGAAAGUCCUGCUCAUCUUUCUGGCCUUCAGACUGGCGACAUCCUCGCCAGCAUCAACGGCGUGAACACUGAUGGCUUUAGUCACAAGCAAAUAGUAGACUUGAUAAAGUCUUCAGGGAACUAUUUAAGGUAGGGG